rnacentral:lncRNA from 1 species
UUUAAUAUGAGCACUAAUUCAUGCAUGCAUGUAGGGGUCAAAUCAACACCAAUUGAUACCAUAAUUAUUCUUCAAGUCAUUCCACUUUUAAGUUAAUGCAAUGUAGUCCUUGAGUUCCUCCAUUGUGCAAUCAACGUCCUCUUCAAUUUUUCAAGUGUUGAAUUUGAUCUUCAAUAUUGCAUCCACUAGCCAAUUUGUUCUUCAUCCUUUUCCAUUUGCUCCAAACGAGUCCAUC